AUUUAAAUAAUUUAAUAAAAAUAUUGAUUUGUGGAGUCAAAAAUAUGAGAGUAUCAUUUUAAAUU
rnacentral:tRNA from 1 species